rnacentral:rRNA from 1 species
AUUGAACGCUGGCGGCAGGCCUAACACAUGCAAGUCGAGCGGCAGCGGGAAAGUAGCUUGCUACUUUUGCCGGCGAGCGGCGGACGGGUGAGUAAUGCCUGGGGAUCUGCCCAGUCGAGGGGGAUAACUACUGGAAACGGUAGCUAAUACCGCAUACGCCCUACGGGGGAAAGCAGGGGACCUUCGGGCCUUGCGCGAUUGGAUGAACCCAGGUGGGAUUAGCUAGUUGGUGAGGUAAUGGCUCACCAAGACGACGAUCCCUAGCUGGUCUGAGAGGAUGAUCAGCCACACUGGAACUGAGACACGGUCCAGACUCCUACGGGAGGCAGCAGUGGGGAAUAUUGCACAAUGGGGGAAACCCUGAUGCAGCCAUGCCGCGUGUGUGAAGAAGGCCUUCGGGUUGUAAAGCACUUUCAGCGAGGAGGAAAGGUUGGUAGCUAAUAACUGCCAGCUGUGACGUUACUCGCAGAAGAAGCACCGGCUAACUCCGUGCCAGCCGCCGCGGUAA